rnacentral:ncRNA from 1 species
AUUCUUGGGUAAAUGCGUGCCCCCUAUGACUGUGAGGUCAUAAGGAAAAUCGGGUGAAUUGCAAGAAACUCCAAUAAUAUAUUGGACAAUUUGCAGCGAAGCUUGUAUCAGUGUUUUAAAGAUACAUGAACGUUCAACGACUAAUCAGUGAGUUACACUAACAAUAAUCUGAACACGAGUGCCCGACAACAUUAAUAUUUAUUUAUUAAUGUUGAUGACAUAGUCUGAACAGUUUGGUAACAAACUG